AACCCUAAAAAGUCCUCUAGACACAAAGGUUUGGUCCCAGCCUUGGAGUCAGUUUUUACUUAAUAUACACAUGCAAGCCUCAACAUCCCCGUGAAAACGCCCUUAAAUUUCCCCAAAGAAAUAAGGAGCUGGUAUCAGGCUCGAUAAUCAGCCCAAAACACCUAGCUUCGCCACACCCACACGGGCAACAGCAGUGAUCAACAUUGAAUAUGAGCGCCAGCUUGAUUCAGUUAAAGUAACAAGAGCCGGCAAACCUGGUGCCAGCCGCCGCGGUUACACCACAGGACUCAAAUUGAUACCCUCCGGCGUAAAGCGUGAUUAAAGAGCCAUAAACUAGAGUUAAACUCAAACUAAGCUGUACCACGCUUGUAUUAAAGAAACCCUAAAACGAAAGUUACUCUAUUUAACCCAACUUGAACUCACGACAGCUAAGACACAAACUGGGAUUAGAUACCCCACUAUGCCUAGCCGUAAACUUUAAAUCACACUCCACCAAUCGCCAGGAAACUACGAGCAAAGCUUAAAACCCAAAGGACUUGACGGUACCCCACAUCCAC
rnacentral:rRNA from 1 species